UACGGAGGGUGCGAGCGUUGUUCGGAAUUACUGGGCGUAAAGCGUGCGUAGUCGGUUAUUUAAGUCGGAUGUGAAAUCCCCGGGCUCAACCUGGGAAUUGCAUUCGAUACUGGAUGGCUAGAGUUCGGCAGAGGGAAGCGGAAUUUCGGGUGUAGCGGUGAAAUGCGUAGAUAUCCGAAGGAACAUCAGUGGCGAAGGCGACUUCCUGGACCAAUACUGACGCUCAGGUGCGAAAGCGUGGGGAGCAAACAGG
rnacentral:rRNA from 1 species